ACGAACGCUGGCGGCGCGCCUAACACAUGCAAGUCGAACGGAGCUGAGAGAAGCUUGCUUUUCUUAGCUUAGUGGCGAACGGGUGAGUAACGCGUGAGUAACCUGCCCUGGAGUGGGGGACAACAGUUGGAAACGACUGCUAAUACCGCAUAAGCCCACGAUCCGGCAUCGGAUUGAGGGAAAAGGAUUUAUUCGCUUCAGGAUGGACUCGCGUCCAAUUAGCUAGUUGGUGAGGUAACGGCCCACCAAGGCGACGAUUGGUAGCCGGACUGAGAGGUUGAACGGCCACAUUGGGACUGAGACACGGCCCAGACUCCUACGGGAGGCAGCAGUGGGGGAUAUUGCACAAUGGGGGAAACCCUGAUGCAGCAACGCCGCGUGGAGGAAGAAGGUUUUCGGAUUGUAAACUCCUGUCGUUAGGGACGAUAAUGACGGUACCUAACAAGAAAGCACCGGCUAACUACGUG
rnacentral:rRNA from 1 species